GACGAACGCUGGCGGCGUGCCUAAUACAUGCAAGUAGAACGCACAGUUUAUACCGUAGCUUGCUACACCAUAAACUGUGAGUUGCGAACGGGUGAGUAACGCGUAGGUAACCUGCCUGGUAGCGGGGGAUAACUAUUGGAACCGAUAGCUAAUACCGCAUAAUAUUGAUUAUUGCAUGAUAAUUGAUUGAAAGAUGCUAUUGCAUCACUACCAGAUGGACCUGCGUUGUAUUAGCUAGUAGGUGAGGUAACGGCUCACCUAGGCGACGAUACAUAGCCGACCUGAGAGGGUGAUCGGCCACACUGGGACUGAGACACGGCCCAGACUCCUACGGGAGGCAGCAGUAGGGAAUCUUCGGCAAUGGACGAAAGUCUGACCGAGCAACGCCGCGUGAGUGAAGAAGGUUUUCGGAUCGUAAAGCUCUGUUGUAAGAGAAGAACGGGUGUGAGAGUGGAAAGUUCACACUGUGACGGUAUCUUACCAGAAAGGGACGGCUAACUACGUG
rnacentral:rRNA from 1 species